GUCACAUUACAUUGAAACACUGGUUCCCAUACAAUCACCAAAGUUAAGCAACCUCAAGCCUGGUCAAUACCUAGAUGGGUGACUGCUUGGAAAUACCAGCUGCUGUAAG